rnacentral:rRNA from 1 species
CCUACGGGUGGCAGCAGUGAGGAAUAUUGGUCAAUGGGCUUACGCCUGAACCAGCCAAGUCGCGUGAGGUAAGACUGCCCUAUGGGUUGUAAACCUCUUUUGUCAGGGAGCAACGCCGGCUACGUGUAGCCGGACUGAGAGUACCUGAAGAAAAAGCAUCGGCUAACUCCGUGCCAGCAGCCGCGGUAAUACGGAGGAUGCGAGCGUUAUCCGGAUUGAUUGGGUUUAAAGGCUUCGUAGGCGGAAUGCCAAGUCAGCGGUAAAAUAGCGGGGAUCAACCUCGCUCCGCCGUUGCAAUUGGUGUUCUUGCGUGGGCGAGAAGUAUGCGGAAUGCGUGGUGUAGCGGUGAAAUGCAUAGAUAUCACGCAGAACUCCGAUUGCGAAGGCAGCAUACCGGCGCCCAACUGACGCUGAAGCACGAAAGCGUGGGUAUCGAACAGGAUUAGAUACCCGAGUAGUC